rnacentral:rRNA from 1 species
AGUGAACGCUGGCGGCAGGCCUAACACAUGCAAGUCGAGCGGCAGCGCGUCCGACCACUCUCGGGUGGUCGGAUGGCGGCGAGCGGCGGACGGGUGAGGAAUGCAUCGGAAUCUGCCUCGUUGUGGGGGAUAACGUAGGGAAACUUACGCUAAUACCGCAUACGACCUACGGGUGAAAGUGGGGGACCUUCGGGCCUCACGCGAUGAGAUGAGCCGAUGCCGGAUUAGCUAGUUGGCGGGGUAAAGGCCCACCAAGGCGACGAUCCGUAGCUGGUCUGAGAGGAUGAUCAGCCACACUGGAACUGAGACACGGUCCAGACUCCUACGGGAGGCAGCAGUGGGGAAUAUUGGACAAUGGGGGGCAACCCUGAUCCAGCCAUGCCGCGUGUGUGAAGAAGG